CAAGAGAUAGUUUAUAUAAAAUAUUAAUUUUGGAUAUUAAAGAAGUAAGUCUUUCUCCCUUGA
rnacentral:tRNA from 1 species